UACGUAGGAGGCAAGCGUUGUCCGGAAUUACUGGGUGUAAAGCGCGUGUAGGCGGCAGGCUAAGUCUGUGGUGAAAUCCCCCGGCCCAACCGAGGAACUGCUUUCGAGACUGCCAAGCUAGAGUGCGGAAGGGGCAUCUGGAAUUCCCAGUGUAGCGGUGAAAUGCGUAGAUAUUGGGAAGAACACCUGAGGCGAAGGCGGGAUGCUGGGCCGACACUGACGCUGAGGCGCGAAAGCCAGGGGAGCAAACGGG
rnacentral:rRNA from 1 species